rnacentral:pre_miRNA from 1 species
CGGGACUGCAGGAUCCUGGGUUGUGUCCCCGGCACCCCGGGAUCUGGGGCCUGCGCUGCUGGAAUCGUGUUCCUGGGGCCGUGGCUCCCG